GCAAGUCGAGCGCACCUUCGGGUGAGCGGCGGACGGGUUAGUAACACGUGGGAACAUGCCCUUCUCUACGGAAUAGCCUCGGGAAACUGAGAGUAAUACCGUAUACGCCCUUCGGGGGAAAGAUUUAUCGGAGAAGGAUUGGCCCGCGUAAGAUUAGAUAGUUGGUGGGGUAAUGGCCUACCAAGUCUACGAUCUUUAGCUGGUUUGAGAGGAUGAUC
rnacentral:rRNA from 1 species